rnacentral:misc_RNA from 1 species
AACGCACGAGACCUGCGGACCUGCGGAAGGAUCAUUAACGAUUUCGGUGUAAAAAACCGUUUUCUACCUAUGUCUACGCGUACCACUUGUUUCCUCGGGGGGCUUGCCCCCCGCUAGGACCCUUUAUCAAACCUUUUUGUAAUAGCAGUCAGCGUCUGAUACUACGUUAAUUAUUAAAACUUUUAACAACGGAUCUCU